UCAUUAUGAUGAAGCUCGCACACGUCUUACACCCAGUCAACUCCAGAACCUGAAAAGGUGAACCCACUGGAGUUGCCUGGGUAAGCAAGGAGAUGACUUGUUGGGGUUACCAACUGUCUGAUAUGAC
ensembl:snoRNA SNORD22 Small nucleolar RNA SNORD22